rnacentral:rRNA from 1 species
AAGUCGUAACAAGGUCUCCGUAGGUGAACCUGCGGAGGGAUCAUUACAAGAACGCCCGGGCUUCGGCCUGGUUAUUCAUAACCCUUUGUUGUCCGACUCUGUUGCCUCCGGGGCGACCCUGCCUUCGGGCGGGGGCUCCGGGUGGACACUUCAAACUCUUGCGUAACUUUGCAGUCUGAGUAAACUUAAUUAAUAAAUUAAAACUUUUAACAACGGAUCUCUUGGUUCUGGCAUCGAUGAAGAACGCAGCGAAAUGCGAUAAGUAAUGUGAAUUGCAGAAUUCAGUGAAUCAUCGAAUCUUUGAACGCACGUUGCGCCCCCUGGUAUUCCGGGGGGCAUGCCUGUUCGAGCGUCAUUUCACCACUCAAGCCUCGCUUGGUAUUGGGCAACGCGGUCCGCCGCGUGCCUCAAAUCGUCCGGCUGGGUCUUCUGUCCCCUAAGCGUUGUGGAAACUAUUCGCUAAAGGGUGUUCGGGAGGCUACGCCGUAAAACAACCCCAUUUCUAAGGUUGACCUCGGAUCAGGUAGGGAUACCCGCUGAACUUAA